GAUGAACGCUAGCGGGAUGCUUAACACAUGCAAGUCGAACGGCCCUUCGGGGCAGUGGCAAACGGGCGAGUAACGCGUACUUAACCUACCCAGAAGUUGGGGACAACUACGGAGACGUAGCUAAUCCCCAAUACUCCCCUUACUAUGAAAAAUAAGGGGCAAAGAUUUAUCGCUUUUGGAGGGGGUGCGUCCUAUCAGGUAGUUGGUAAGGUAAUGGCUUACCAAGCCUAUGACGGGUAGCCGGUCUGAGAGGAUGUCCGGCCGCAAUGGAACUGAGACACGGUCCAUACUCCUACGGGAGGCAGCAGUGGGGAAUCUUGCGCAAUGGGCGAAAGCCUGACGCAGCAAUCCCGCGUGAAGGAUGAAGCAUUAUGGUGUGUAAACUUCUUUUCUGGUGGAAGACGAAUGACGGUACACCAGGAAUAAGGGACGGCUAACUACGUGCCAGCCGCCGCGGUAAUU
rnacentral:rRNA from 1 species